rnacentral:rRNA from 1 species
GACAGAGGGUGCAAACGUUGUUCGGAAUUACUGGGCGUAAAGCGCGCGUAGGCGGACCUGCAAGUCGGGGGUGAAAGCCCGAGGCUCAACCUCGGAACUGCCUUUGAUACUGGGUAUCUCGAGUCCGAGAGAGGUGAGUGGAAUUCCGAGUGUAGAGGUGAAAUUCGUAGAUAUUCGGAGGAACACCAGUGGCGAAGGCGGCUCACUGGCUCGGUACUGACGCUGAGGUGCGAAAGCGUGGGGAGCAAACAGG